UGACUGGUCUAAACCAUCAUUGGUCUAUGGUGUAAUUGGCAGCACGACUGAUUCUGGUUCAGUUAGUCUUGGU
rnacentral:tRNA from 1 species